rnacentral:rRNA from 1 species
GACGAACGCUGGCGGCGUGCUUAACACAUGCAAGUCGAACGAUGAAGCCGGAGCUUGCUCUGGUGAAUUAGUGGCGAACGGGUGAGUAACACGUGAGUAACCUGCCCUUGACUCUGGGAUAACUGCGGGAAACUGUAGCUAAUACCGGAUACGACCCUCGGAGGCAUCUCCUGGGGGUGGAAAGAAUUUCGGUCAAGGAUGGACUCGCGGCCUAUCAGCUAGUUGGUGAGGUAAAGGCUCACCAAGGCGACGACGGGUAGCCGGCCUGAGAGGGUGACCGGCCACACUGGGACUGAGACACGGCCCAGACUCCUACGGGAGGCAGCAGUGGGGAAUAUUGGACAAUGGGGGCAACCCUGAUCCAGCCAUGCCGCGUGAGUGAUGAAGGCCUUAGGGUUGUAAAGUACUUUCAGCGGGGAGGAAGGCGAUGGGGUUAAUAACCCUGUCGAUUGACGUUACCCGCAGAAGAAGCACCGGCUAACUCCGUGC